CAGUGGGUGCAAGGAGUUUGGUUUGUGUCUGCCGGCCGGCAGGCACAGAGUGUGCCGGUCAUCAACAGCAUGGGCAGCAGCCUGACCACCCUGCAGCCCGUCCAGUUCUCCCAGCCGCUGCACCCCUCCUACCAGCAGCCGCUCAUGCCACCUGUGCAGAGCCACGUGACCCAGAGCCCCUUCAUGGCCACCAUGGCUCAGCUGCAGAGCCCCCACGGUGAGCGCCCUGUGCCCCACACAGCUGGAGAUGAUGAUAGAGGUUGGCUGUCAAUGGAUGCAGGGGAAAGGGGUACCUGGCAGGCGUUGCAGUCUGCAUGUGUCUCUGGGACAAGUGUGUUUCCGUGACUGAGGGUGUCUGCAGGCCAGUGUGUUCCCAUGUGAAUGCACGUAUCUGUGUGUGUGCACGACUGCUUGUGUGAGCAGAUCCCUAGUGC
rnacentral:sRNA from 1 species